GGAACAAUCUCUUCCAUGAGAUCUCUCCUUGGUGGGAGACUUUCCCUGCAAGCCCAAAAUCUUCUGAUCUGGCACUGUGUUCAGUCAGACUGGGGCAGCACUGCUUUAUUUUGGCAGCUUUGUUUUCUGGACAAAACUGGAGUUGCUGCUAUGAGCUGUUUCUUGAUGGGUACCUGCAGGUAUGAAGCUUGAAAAAACUGGGAACCGAAGCAGCCAGAGCUGGAAUUUGCAUACCUUACAUCACAUGACAAAGCUCAGCACUUGAAGAGAAGAACAUUUUGAAUCAGGAGGUGGGCAACGGGAAGGGAAGGGGGCACUGAGAAAGACAGGCAUCACGUUGUUCUCUACGGACUAGAUCCUAAAAGCAAGCCUGAAGUCCAUCUUCUAGAAACAAUUCACAAUUGGGAAAGAAUUUGUCUUGAGAGAACAACAAAUGUGACACGUCUGUGACUGUUUAAAAGUAUUGUUUCUGUAAGAAUUAUGUAGUUUUCCACUGAAUCUGUUAAAUGGAAAUCCAUUCAGAGAAACGAAAGUGAGAAACGGAAGAGUGGAUUGUAUCACCCAUGGAAAGGGUGGAAGUGCAGUUCUGUUCCAGCAGCUGGUCUGUUUUCAUGACUGAUUUUUCCUGUUAGCAGCGUUGAAACGGAGGACGGAGCAGUGAGCAUGCUACUGUGAAAGAAACAAAGCUUAUCAGUAAGGACGUGACAAAUACUUCUUCAUACUGUGUGAAAAGGUUUUGACGUACUGCCUGUGGCUCAGCGAUUGAAAGACAAAGAGAGUCUUCUGCCCGUGUUGUAAGAUACAGUGGGUGACCUUGGAUGUUACCUAAUCCUGCUGUCCUUCAGUUUACCGCUUCUUCUGUAGUCUCUUCGAUUUUCAACCUACGUAUUUCCUUUUUGUUUCGAGUCAAGCAAGAUUCCAAUGAACGGCAGCCUCUCUUACUCUACUGAGGUAUUAUGCAUACCCUGAAAGCCGCCUGUUCUUUGUCAGGAGUAUGACAGAAUUGCCUGAAAAAUAUCUUACGACUGUUUUUUCCUUUCAGUGUCAUCACCUGUUACUGCGGCAGUUUUUCAGACAUGUUAAGCAUAUAUAGAUAGAUCUGUAUGCUCUGUUUUCUUCUUAAAGCGUUGAAUGUAUGGCAUAAUAAUUUGUUCCAAAGAUAGGUUCUGGAUAGUUUGAGUAAACUUUUUCUGUCUCUGUGUCACUGAUUUGAAAUGGAGCGCUAUUGGAAAUAAUCGGCUGGAACGUGGGGUUUCAGGGUCAUUACACGAGUGAACACCUGAAAAAAUUGCACACAAGAUUUGUAGUUUGCUUAAUUGUGCCUCCAUUGUUUCAGUCUUUGUCACUGCAUACAGUGAGAAUCACAGAUGAGAGCAGACAGACUUCAGCUACAAAUCCUGCCAGCUAGAAACUUUCAGCAAAUGUGCUGUCUUCCAGUUUUAGCUGUCCAGGAUCUGUUAGGUCUACCGCGUGCAUCCUUCUUGGGUUGUUGGAAUAUAGCUGAAUUUGCUCUCAAAUGUCUGAAGAUCUCCCAAAUGAGUUUUCCAUCUGCCCUUCAUUCUUUCUACCUUAUUAACUCUGUUAGAGAAGUGGAUAAUUUCCUUAGCUUGUGACUUGGGGUGAUGGUCCUGGCAAGAUUUUUAAGCAUGUUUUUCAAGUGUUUUUUAUUUUUAUAUAAGUCAUUGGUUGUAUAGGUUUCUCCAGCAGGUAAAAUUGCAGUGGCUGGCAUUCCCGAUUAGACAUGCCAGAGCAUUGCUGGAAAUCCAACUAUAUCCUAAUCUGUGUGUACGUAAUUGACAGGUUUGUGGUUUGGUUUUUUUAUAAAUACAUCUCAAUUGACAGAUGGUUUCAUUAUGUUACUCUGUGACAGUCAAGAGUUCAUAAUGCUCAGUAAUUCACUGAAGUAGGGGCAUUCGCAAGUGUUUACUCUCCCUUAAGAAGUGAGGCAUUCAUGCUUUUCCAUUGCCACAGUUUAUUUUAAUGUUGAGCAGAAAACAUUUAAUUGAGAGGAAGGCUGAUCAGAGUUCAGUGAAUGUUCUUUCUCCAUGAAAAAAAAAGAUUUUUUUUUAAAUUUAUUUAACUGUAUGAAGGAGUUAUGUGAAAGGCUGUUUUUCCACCAGGCAUCCACGUGGUUGGAUGCCUGGCCCUGAAGCUUUAUUUCUAAAGAAAUGUUGGCGUCUGGAAUCUGUGAAGGGAGACUAUAGGGAAAGCUGGUGAAAACAAGCCCUCCCGCUUUUCAGCAGCAAUUGGACAGAAUUGCAGUCAUCCCAACGGCGAUGCCUCUUGCCUCCUCUUGGAAGGGCAAAGCUGAAUGGUGUAAGAAGAGAUCUGAUUGGUUUGUGUGUCUACUUCUAUCAGAAAAAUGGGGCUGUUACUUGUUUUCUGUUUAUUUUUUUCUUAAUGCUUACCUAAUAAGAACACUAGAUCCAAUUUUUUUGACCAUAUGAACAUUGAAAAAAAAAUCUCUGCAUCAGUAAUACAAAAAAUGGUGAUUAAGGAGCGCUCAUGAUAGAUGGAGAAGUUUGCGUUCAUCUAUUAUGCUGUAGGCUGAUGACAUCGAUAUUUGGCCUACAAUUGCAGUUGAACCGGGAUGUAUUGGUAGCACUAGAACUAACGAAAUAUCACUGGAGAGCUUUUGUGCUUAGUAAACGCAGUCUGUUUUACUCACUGUUAAAAAUUCUUCUUUUAUUUGGGACAGCAAGUUUCGGGUAUGAGACGUUCUAGCUGAGUUGUCUGUGUUGCUAAAUCACCAAUAGCAAAGACUCUGAACGCAACUUUUGCUGACAUAUUUGUAAUGAUUAUGCCAUGAUGUAGUCUGCCUCUGGACACGAUGUCUGCCUGAACCACAAGGGUGCCCUGCAAUCAUACAAAUGGAACUUUUCUACAGAUGUUUAUCUGAAGCACCAUUUUUUUCCUGCGUGUAAGUUGUUAGGUUUUUGAAAAAGGUUUUUAUUUGCUAGUGCAGCAAGUACACUAACUGCAAAAAUGCACUCGAGUAUAAGCUUUAUAUAAAACCUAUUGCAAAAUGAUGUCUAUGUCAUAUGGAGUUUAUCUCUAAUGAACUUCAACUUGAUAAGGUGAAUCCUACAGAGAUGCAUUAAAUGUUCACGCUACUGAGAACAAUACAUGAUAUAAAAGAAUUUGUGUUCUUAUUGCAUCUUCAUUUUU